UUGAUCUUAUGAUUGAUUUUGAUGAUUCUAAAAUAUUGAGCAUAAUUAAUACUAAUUAUAUGUUUCAAAAAUGAAUGUAGGAGUUUUCAGAUGCUUAAAUUGAAAAAUUCAUCUAUAGAAAAGAUCCCCUUAAGGAUGUCAAGCUAAAGUACUUCAAAGAAUAAAAUUGUACAAAACUAGCUCAAAGGAGUCGAUCUCAAGACAAGAGGAGUCAAUUUUG
rnacentral:lncRNA from 1 species